rnacentral:rRNA from 1 species
GUCACGUAGCAAUGCGUGGCGAACGGCUCAGUAACACGUAGUCAACAUGCCCAGGGGACGUGGAUAACCUCGGGAAACUGAGAUUAAACCGCGAUAGGUCAAGAUUUCUGGAAUGGAUCUUGGCUUAAAUCUACAUGGCCCCUGGAUUGGACUGCGGCCGAUCAGGCUGUUGGUGAGGUAAUGGCCCACCAAACCUAUAACCGGUACGGGCUCUGAGAGGAGAAGCCCGGAGAUGGGCACUGAGACAAGGGCCCAGGCCCUAUGGGGCGCAGCAGGCGCGAAACCUCUGCAAUGGGCGAAAGCCUGACAGGGUUACUCUGAGUGAUUUCCGUUAAGGAGACCUUUUAGCACCUCUAAAAAUGGUGCAGAAUAAGGGGUGGGCAAGUCUGGUGUCAGCCGCCGCGGUAAUACCAGCACCCCGAGUGGUCGGGACGAUUAUUGGGCCUAAAGCAUCCGUAGCCGGUUGUGCAAGUCCUCCGUUAAAUCCAGCCGCUCAACGGAUGGGCUGCGGAGGAUACUACAGGACUAGGAGGCGGGAGAGGCAAGCGGUACUUAGUGGGUAGGGGUAAAAUCCUUUGAUCCAUUGAAGACCACCAGUGGCGAAGGCGGCUUGCCAGAACGCGCUCGACGGUGAGGGAUGAAAGCUGGGGGAGCAAACCGGAUUAGAUACCCGGGUAGUCCCAGCUGUAAACGAUGCAGACUCGGUGAUGGGCUAGCCUCGUGUCAGCCCAGUGCCGCAGGGAAGCCGUUAAGUCUGCCGCCUGGGGAGUACGGUCGCAAGACUGAAACUUAAAGGAAUUGGCGGGGGAGCACCACAAGGGGUGAAGCCUGCGGUUCAAUUGGAUUCAACGCCGGG